rnacentral:rRNA from 1 species
CCUACGGGUGGCAGCAGUGGGGAAUAUUGGACAAUGGGGGGAACCCUGCUCCAGCGACGCCGCGUGAGUGAAGAAGUAUUUCGGUAUGUAAAGCCCUAUCAGCAGGGAAGAAAGAAAUGAAGGUACCUGCCUAAGAAGCCCCGGCUAACUACGUGCCAGCAGCCGCGGUACUACGUAGGGGGCAAGCGUUAUCCGGAUUUAUGGGGGGGAAAGGGAGCGUAGACGGCGAUGCAAGUAUGAAGUGAAAGGCGGGGGACCAACCGCCGGACGGCUUUGGAAACUGUAUGGCUGGAGUGCAGGAGAGGAAAGUGGAAUUCCAAGUGUAGCGGUGAAAUGCGUAGAUAUUAGGAGGAACACCAGUGGCGAAGGCGGCUUACUGGACUGUAACUGACGUUGAGGCUCGAAAGCGUGGGGAGCAAACAGGAUUAGAUACCCCUGUAGUC